UCUGGGUCCAACCUCCCACCCGUGUUUAUUUUACCUUGUUGCUUCGGCGGGCCCGCCUUAACUGGCCGCCGGGGGGCUCACGCCCCCGGGCCCGCGCCCGCCGAAGACACCCUCGAACUCUGUCUGAAGAUUGAAGUCUGAGUGAAAAUAUAAAUUAUUUAAAACUUUCAACAACGGAUCUCUUGGUUCCGGCAUCGAUGAAGAACGCAGCGAAAUGCGAUACGUAAUGUGAAUUGCAAAUUCAGUGAAUCAUCGAGUCUUUGAACGCACAUUGCGCCCCCUGGUAUUCCGGGGGGCAUGCCUGUCCGAGCGUCAUUGCUGCCCUCAAGCCCGGCUUGUGUGUUGGGCCCCGUCCUCCGAUUUCCGGGGGACGGGCCCGAAAGGCAGCGGCGGCACCGCGUCCGGUCCUCGAGCGUAUGGGGCUUUGUCACCCGCUCUGUAGGCCCGGCCGGCGCUUGCCGAUCAACCCAAAUUUUUAUCCAGGUUGACCUCGGAUCAGGUAGGGAUACCCGCUGAACUUAAGCAUAUCAAUAAGCGGAGGAA
rnacentral:rRNA from 1 species